GGGAGGGAGACCAUAUAAGGGCAAAGGGAGCAGAAGUCAGAAUCUGGCAGGGAUGAUGGGAAAGGGGCACGGGGGGCCCCCUUUAGCAUCUGUCUCAUUUUCUAAUCUGUAGUUGGUCUACCCUGCUUUGGAAUCAAGAUCUUUACCUUGGCUGUACAGGUACCAGGUUCUAAAGGAGCUCCCAGCCAGGUCUCCCUUCAAGCAUCACAAACUGCCUCGUUGACAGUGACUCUUGGCAAUUCCAAUGGACUUUGAAAAGCCAGGUACUCCAGAAGUAAAGGCCAAGAUACUGAAAUUGGAAAUUAAUCAAUGCAGUCUGGGCAAGAAGAGGUAAAAUGUUGGGGAGGACCGUGGAUUUCAACUACCCAUGCAACCCUGCCCUGGGGCCCAGGGCAUAUCAGGGGUUGCCUGCUCCUUCCCUGGCUCACGGAUGUUCCUCCUGGUACAGGUGAAGCCCUGGUUGCUGUCUCAGGUCUGUGCCAAGGCACAGAGCUUUAGAGUCAAUUCCUGAUGCUGAUUCCCCGGAGAAAAGAGGACAAAGCAAAACAAACCAAAGUGUUGCAGUGGCCUGGAGACCCUGAGUUCAGUCAGACUGGGUAUUAGAUCUUCAUUACAGAACUAAGGAACCCCAGGGACUUUCAUUGCUAAACCGAGGCCAAUACAAAGAAUCUCUCUAAGCCACAUGUAUCAAGCAAGCCCUAAGGAGCCUUGAGUCUUCACGCCAACGCAGGUUGUGGUUACAAGGUCAACAGAGGUACAAGCUUGCUUUGCAAGAAAGAGGAUGCUCACUUACUUUACCCAGCAUCUUUUAACUAGAGGCCCUAUAUUUGUUUUUGAAAACGUGUGUGUGUGUGUGUGUGUGUUUCUGUCUGUCAUCCCCUUCUAAAGACUCAGAGCUAUCUCCAAAAUGUGAGACCCACACAGAAAUCUUAACAAAGUCCUGACAGGAACAGGAAACUCUCUCUGGUCCUGUGAAACUUACAGGGGUAAGAGUCAAAUAGAGUAGAAUAUCAUUUAUUACCUGGAGAUAGUAAAAUAAGGAACUGAGGUUAAUAAAUAUCAUCUUGCCUCAGACCUUAAGCCCCUCUAAAGGCCAUAUUUGCAAAAUCUUUUGAUUUAGGAUGAGAUUAGUUUCCAGGGGAUAUUCCUGUCCUCUGUGGAGAAGCUCCCUGGGCUCUGAAGGCAGCGCCUCCCCUCUCUUUGGAAGGUCUCAUGCUGACAGCUGUCCCAGUAGAUUUGUGUGGAACACUCUGAGCAAGGCUUGUUGUCACAUCUGAGUCCCACAUGCUGAGUAAAACCCUCUGCCAAUGGCAUGUACACUCUAACUGCUGAGACGGGGGACAACCCUGUUGAUGGAAAGAAUGACAGAUUGUGCACAUCACACACACACACACACACACACACACACACCCUCAGGCAUCUAAAUAUGUUGCCAAUCUUACCUAAGCACUGAAGAUGAAAUUCCUGAACUCCCCCUUUAUCUUUUAAUUAUUCUUAGGACGACUCCAUUCUUGCAGAAGGUGACUUGUGUCUGUGCCGUUCCUUCUGCCUCACCUGUAUCUUAUUAAUCUUUCUGCCCCUAUCUUGCCUCAUAAAUAGCUUUCCACGGUUCUCUGACUUAAGGCAACUUUACUUCUGGGAUAAGCACCUUGAUUCUUGAUCAAACUACUUGGAGUUUCCCCAUUGUAUUUCCAUCGCCAAGAAACCUCAAUUCUCAGUCUAAGAGAGUGGUGACAGUUGGCCACUUCCAGACCAUCUUCUGGUGGCCAGAGUCUUAUUUUUGUGUAGGUUAGGUAAGACUUUCUUAUAAUUAUAGCAGUUGGGUUUUCUCCCUUUGUUAUUAGUCUUUUUUGUUGACAAACACACUUAGGGUACACAUCAUACCAUAAUAUGGAAUACAUAUUGUUUUGAUAUCUGUAUACAUUGCAAAAUGGCUAAAACAAACCAAUUAAUGAAUGCAUUACCUCAGACACCAUUUUUUUGGGUAAUGGUACUACUCACUUAGCAAUUUUCAGGUCACAAUGCAUUGCUAUUUACUGUGGUCAUAAUGUUGUACAAUUUACAGGUGUGUGUGUGUGUGUGUAUUAAAUUUUGCCAUAAGAAUUCCUUUUCCACUAUUAUGGAACCCCAAAAGAUGAAACAUAUUAAAGAAUUGCUGCUAAUGUAGGGCAGCUAAUGCCCUGGCAGCUUGGCUCCCCUUUGCUGGGCUCACAGGAAUCCAUUCUGUCUCUGCUACAUAGCCCUCCCUACUAUGUGCUUGCUUGAAGCCAAUGGACCACCAGAGUCCCCUUUACAAAUCCAGUCUCCUGAAUAUCUCUUCACAUCUACCAAAUCAGCAAGUACCUCCAAGGGUGGGUGACAGCAGAGGAGAUCAUCUGCUUUGUAUUUAUCAUCGUCCACUUUUAUUUUGUGGACACCUUCAUUGUUCCAUGGAUGACAAACAGGAAAAUUUUGUUCCUGUUGUCCAAGAGGACAUUUUAGUGGAGUCUACCUUGGGUAAAAUUCUCAGUACCUGUCUCUUUCACUCAGUGACCAAGAUGGACCAAAAUCUCAGACCCAAGUAAAAAAUGUACAGAAUUUCCUACCAGGUGAAUAAAUACCUAGUAGAACCAGUGGUGUCAGAAGACCAGGGUCUGAGCACCUAUCCCCUCAGCCUUAAAAACUCAAGUGACGGAGAUUUCUCAGAAGCAGAUUGGUGUGGUGACAAAGACAUAGUUUCUGGAGUCUGGCAAACUAGGACAUACCUAGUUCAACUUCAGGUGUGCGUUUCCCCAUCUGUUUGUGGGAAUAUUAAGGUUCUUGAUGAGCUGCUUGGGAAGAUAAUGAGAAAUCAUAAAGCUUAAGAAGGUGCCUGGCACUUGGUGAACUCUUGGAAAAUGCUUGCUGUUCCCCCCAAUAAGUAUGGAAUUUAAAUUCCAAAAGUUCCCCUUAGCAAGAGAGGAAGCUACGAAUGGAGGAUCAGAUAGUUAACUCUCCAUGAUCCUAAGGAAAAGUGGAGAUGAAGCCGGAGAAGCAUGGGGUAUGGGGUGGGGGGAGGAAAAGAAUCAUGAAUAUUCACAUUUAUUAGGUUUUAAUCAUGUUCCAGUGACUAGACUAGAAUCUGAUUUCAUUACCUCAUUUAAUCCUCACAAAACUCCAUCAGAAAGGUACUGUUACCAUUCUUACUUUGCAGAUGAGGAAGCCGAGCCUCAUAAACUUGAUAAGGUAACUUGGCAAAGCCACUCAGUGAAGCAAGUAGCUGGAGCUCAGACCCAUCCAUGUCACUCCAAAACAAGAUCUCUUAACCACAGCCCUCUCCAGAGAAGUGAAGCUUAGCAGUCUGCUGAGAUCUGGAUUUUAAAUAUCUUCUCUAGACAUGAAAAGUCAAGAUCAGUUCUAGAAGACCACUGGAAAUGAGAGUAUCCCUGAGAAGAGUGAAAAUGAAAGGUUGAAGUGAGUAUGAGAUACACGAAUAGGUCUAGCUAUUCAGAGGCCAGUCUUCAGCACCUUCCCGUCAAUACCAAAUAUUUUAAAAGCUAAAUGUUCAGAAUAAAAAUUGAGGGGAAACCCACUGGAAAAGCUGUGACUUGUUCACGUCUGGGAAGUCAUGUGGCUCUUUUGAAAUAAAGGUCACUCUGCCACUCGACAAGCUUAGUGACACUGGGCAGGCUAAAUACCCCAUGAGAAGUCCUUAGACAUCUGGAUCCAGAAAUACAGGAACAGAGCAGAGAACCGCAGUAUUGAGGAGAGCAUGAAAUAUGGGUGUUGAGAGCCGAGGUGAAGCCUAAUUGGGGCUGGGGGUCACUAUCACUUUCUCCAUUCUCAUUCUUCAUAAGCAAUUUAGAAUGUCUCAGAGUUACCGACCAGACUGCUGUCCCUAAAUGCCUUCCAGAUAGAAAUUAGGUAUUCUGGACCCACCCAUGCCCUUGGAGAGAAAGAAAGCAUCUAGAAACCUCCUGAAAGUGAUAUCAGAGAGGUGACAGGCACAUCCACUGGAACUAUGCAAAAACUCAUUUGCAUAAAUAAGUUAUCUAUUCAGUCCAUUCAAAACAUAUGCACCUGCACAUCGGUGGAAUGUUAUGAAAGAAAGCCUUUGGAAUUAUUUCUGAACAAUUUCGUAUUUGGGGAAUAUCUAAGUGAAAUCUCCCUACUUCUAGGACAGCAUAUCUCUGAUUUUUCUCCCCACUCCUAUUCUGAGCAACCACAUGUCAGUUCAGGGUUUGAAAUUAGUCAGUCUCUCUUUCUGGACAAGGACAGUCUAUCACAUUGUCCUAUUUUGAGACUCAGUUUCUUUUAUGACAAUGCCCCAGGAAAGUUUUAUGAGAGUCCUGAUUUAAGGUUGGAGGUUAAUCGCUCUGAAAUUCUGAGAACCAAAAAAUAUUGUGUAGGUGGGUGUACAGUAAAACUGAAAACAGGAAGUCUCCCGUACACUGAACCCAAAUCUGCAUCAUCAGUACAUCUGAAAACUUCUCUUGGGAGGAGAGUCCUGCUGUGCAUGGGACCAGCCACCCUCUGCUCACUUCCUUGUGAUGGAGGCCUUUGAGCUCUGGGGAAGAAUGGAAUAAGAAGGGCCAGGGGCAGAAGUCACCAUGACCGGGUGAGUGUGAAAGAAAGCCAUGUCUCGCUUGCUGUGGACUCUCUCCGUCAACACCAAAACACUUCCAAGUCGACUCCAGGUUUACAGUCCUCAAAUUCAUCAGUCCGUGGUUCUCCGGGAGUUGCCAGGACCACCAGGGCAGAAAAUCUCAGGGAGUCCAAUCUGGGAUCUCACAAUUGUGAGUAGGGGAGCAGAGCGCUUGACAAAUACCUGGUUUUUGCUAAUCCAUUUUUUUCCCCAGCUUGGCAGGUCACCUUAACUUGAGGACUGAAUGCACAGCUGGGAAAAUAUGCUUCUUAUUAGGGAUCGGGCCAGUGCUCUGUGAACUUGAGCCUUGGCUGGGGGUAACAUUCUUUGAACAACCAGGUAAGACGAGCCUAGAAAGCCACAGCACCUUGCCAAGUAGAGACGUUAAUACCAAGCACCAAGACCCCAAGGGGUCACCACACAGCCCACUUGGAGGAGACCCACUCAUUCCUCUACGAUCUCUCUCCCUGCCUUAGAGUUGUUGGCAGCAAACACUGGGCAGAGGGCAGAGGUGCUGGGAAAGAGGAUAAAGUAAGAAGGAGAAGGAAAGAGGAGAGACAGAGAAAUUGCCGUGUGGUUUAUCUGGAUGAUCAGAGAGAAAUUUUCAAAUGCCCCCCAAAACUCACCUUGGUAAAAUGUCUUAACAUGUUAGACACAAUUGUACCCAAAUUUUAUACACUCAUACCCCAUUCUGUAUUUUCUCAGGCUUGUGAAUUUUUGAAAAAGUUGGGGCAAUGGGGAAAAUGUUAGUCAAAGUGUACAAAAUUUCAGUUAGGAGAAUUACAUUGGUAGUGAGAGAUUGCAUGUAGUAAUUAACUACAACCAAUAAUAAUGAAUUGUGUAUUUCAAAAUUGCUGAAAUGAUAGAGUUUAAAUGUUUCCAUGACAUAUAAGUAUGUGAAGUCAUGUAUAUAUUAAUGACUUAAUCAUCCCACAUAGCGUGAGAAUAUUAAAACACCAUACUUUCCCUACAAGCAUAUAGAACUAUUAUUUCUCAUUUAAAAAUAAAGUUAAAUUAAGACAUAAUAAGAUAUCCCUCCAUGCUCAUCAGGUGGGUUUGUUUGUGUAUAUAAAAAUAAAAUAAUAAUUUAAAAAACCAGAAAAUAACAAGUGUUGGUGAGGAUGUAGCAGAAUAUGUGGAGAAAUGGGAAACCUGUGUACUGCUGCUGAGAUUGUAAAAUGGAGAGGCUAUGGAAAACAGUAGAGCAAUUCCUCAAAACAUAAAAGUGGAAUUGCCACGUGAUACAGGUUCUACUUCUGAGUAUAUACCCAAAAUCUGUGAAAUAAGGGACUCAAAUAGAUAUUUGUACAUCCAGAAUCAUAGCAGAUUAUUCACAAUAGCCAAAAGGCAGAACCAACUCAAGUAUCCAUAGAUAGGUGAAUUGAUAAACAAAAUGUGGGAGAUAUAUAUUAUAGUUUGGGAAAAGGUAUUUGCAAACCGUUCAACUGAUAAAGGGCUAAUAUCCAAAAUAUAUAUUUAAAAACUCCUUAAUACAUUAUAUAUUAUAUAUAUCGUUCUUCCCUUUAAAAAAGAGAAAUUGUGACAUAUGCCACAAAAUGUUAAACCUUGAAGUUAUCCUAAGUGAAAUAAGAACAAAUGUGGUAUAAUUUCAUUUAAGAGUACCUAGAAGAAUCAAGUGCACAGAGAGAGGGAAUAUGGAUACAGGGGAGGGGAGGUGGACAGAAGUGUUUGGGAGUGAC